UACGUAGGGGUGCAAAGCGUUUAUCCGGAAUUUAUUGGGCGAAAAGAGCUCGUAGGCGGUUUGUCGCGUCUGCUGUGAAAACUGGAGGCUCAACCUCCAGCCUGCAGUGGGUACGGGUAGACUAGAGUGCGGUAGGGGAGAUUGGAAUUCCUGGUGUAGCGGUGGAAUGCGCAGAUAUCAGGAGGAACACCAAUGGCAAGGCAGAUCUCUGGGCCGUAAACUGACGCUGAGGAGCGAAAAGCAUGGGGAGCGAACAGG
rnacentral:rRNA from 1 species